CCUACGGGAGGCAGCAGUGGGGAAUCUUGCACAAUGGAGGAAACUCUGAUGCAGCGAUGCCGCGUGAGUGAAGAAGGCCUUUGGGUUGUAAAGCUCUUUUGUAGGGGAAGAUAAUGACUGUACCCUAAGAAUAAGGUCCGGCUAACUUCGUGCCAGCAGCCGCGGUAAUACGAAGGGACCUAGCGUAGUUCGGAAUUACUGGGCGUAAAGCGCGCGUAGGCCGUUGAGUUAGUUAAUUGUGAAAUCCCAAAGCUUAACUUUGGAACUGCAAUUAAAACUGCUCGACUAGAGUUUGAUAGAGGAAAGCGGAAUACAUAGUGUAGAGGUGAAAUUCGUAGAUAUUAUGUAGAACACCAGUUGCGAAGGCGGCUUUCUGGAUCAACACUGACGCUGAGGCGCGAAAGUAUGGGUAGCAAAGAGGAUUAGAUACCCUCGUAGUCCAUACCAUAAACGAUGAUUGCUAGAUGUUGGAAAUUUAUUUUACAGUAUCGCAGCUAACGCAUUAAGCAAUCCGCCUGGGGAGUACGACCGCAAGGUUAAAACCUCAAAAGGAAUUAGGACCGUGNGAGACGCGACGACGACGACGACGAGGAGGAG
rnacentral:rRNA from 1 species